GGACGAGAAGCUUGCUUCUCUGAUGUUAGCGGCGGACGGGUGAGUAACACGUGGAUAACCUACCUAUAAGACUGGGAUAACUUCGGGAAACCGGAGCUAAUACCGGAUAAUAUUUUGAACCGCAUGGUUCAAAAGUGAAAGACGGUCUUGCUGUCACUUAUAGAUGGAUCCGCGCUGCAUUAGCUAGUUGGUAAGGUAACGGCUUACCAAGGCAACGAUGCAUAGCCGACCUGAGAGGGUGAUCGGCCACACUGGAACUGAGACACGGUCCAGACUCCUACGGGAGGCAGCAGUAGGGAAUCUUCCGCAAUGGGCGAAAGCCUGACGGAGCAACGCCGCGUGAGUGAUGAAGGUCUUCGGAUCGUAAAACUCUGUUAUUAGGGAAGAACAUAUGUGUAAGUAACUGUGCACAUCUUGACGGUACCUAAUCAGAAAGCCACGGCUAACUACGUGCCAGCAGCCGCGGUAAUACGUAGGUGGCAAGCGUUAUCCGGAAUUAUUGGGCGUAAAGCGCGCGUAGGCGGUUUUUUAAGUCUGAUGUGAAAGCCCACGGCUCAACCGUGGAGGGUCAUUGGAAACUGGAAAACUUGAGUGCAGAAGAGGAAAGUGGAAUUCCAUGUGUAGCGGUGAAAUGCGCAGAGAUAUGGAGGAACACCAGUGGCGAAGGCGACUUUCUGGUCUGUAACUGACGCUGAUGUGCGAAAGCGUGGGGAUCAAACAGGAUUAGAUACCCUGGUAGUCCACGCCGUAAACGAUGAGUGCUAAGUGUUAGGGGGUUUCCGCCCCUUAGUGCUGCAGCUAACGCAUUAAGCACUCCGCCUGGGGA
rnacentral:rRNA from 1 species